rnacentral:tRNA from 1 species
AAGAGAAUUAGGAUGAGGGUAGCUGCUAACUAAUCCUCAAAGCGGUUCAACUCCGUUUUUCUCUUA